UACGAAGGGGCGAGCGUUGUUCGGAAUUACUGGGCGUAAAGGCGCGUAGGCGGCCCUUUGUCGCGUGUGAAAGCCCGGGCUCAACCCGGAAGUGCACUCGAUACUGCCGAGCUAGAGCGUCGGAGAGGUUGGUGGAAUUCUCGGUGUAGAGGUGAAAUUCGUAGAUAUCGAGAGGAACACCGGUGGCGAAGGCGGCCAACUGGACGAACACUGACGCUGGAGACUCGAAAGCGUGGGGAGCAAACAGG
rnacentral:rRNA from 1 species